GCAUGUUGUGUUUUGGGAUGCCCUUCCGGGGCUAAUAUGACGAUUCCGUUUCCGAAAAAUUUCUGACGAGAGAAGGGCGGCAUGGUCAUCAAAAAUUGGCGAUGAUAUAUUAAAAAAUACUGCAUCAGAAAAGCACACAGAAGCUUCCUAAUGGUUCGAGCAUGUUGUGUUUUGGGAUGCCCUUCCGGGGCUAAUAUGACGAUUCAAGUUUCCGAAAAAUUCUGACCAGAGAAGGACGGCAUGGUCAUCAAAAAUUGGCGAUGAUAUAUUAAAAAAUACUGCAUCAGAAAAGCACACAGGUUGUUGGAGUUUGGGUGGGUGGUACUUGCGAAAGCGUGGGUGCUUAUGCCCUCUCUAUUGUGUUCCUUUCUACCUUCUUUUCUAUGUAGACUCCCCGGUACCAUACCGGGUUUUCCUACGAAAUUUCGUUUUUCUUCAAUCUCGGCGGCUAGACUUGCGUACCUCUUAACGCAGAAACUCAGAAUGGUUCACAGAGGAGGCUGGCACAGACGGAAUUGCCAUAGGGCCACGUACAAGCAAUAUCCGGUCUUAGAAAUUUCACCUUCGGCGUGCUGUAUCUCGCAAACGGUUGGAUCUACGGCUUUCUCGAUGAAAUUUUUAAAGAUCUCUCUUAAUGCAGAGACUCAGAAUGGUCCAUAGAGGGAGGAGGCUGGCACAGAUAGAAUUGCCAUAG